UACGUAGGGUGCGAGCGUUGUCCGGAUUUAUUGGGCGUAAAGAGCUCGUAGGCGGUUUGUCGCGUCGGCCGUGAAAUCUCCACGCUUAACGUGGAGCGUGCGGUCGAUACGGGCAGACUUGAGUUCGGUAGGGGAGACUGGAAUUCCUGGUGUAGCGGUGAAAUGCGCAGAUAUCAGGAAGAACACCCGUGGCGAAGGCGGCUCUCUGGGACGGUACUGACGCUGAGACGCGAAAGCGUGGGGAGCGAACAGG
rnacentral:rRNA from 1 species